GACGCGCGGCAACGUUAGAUAUGGGAAUAAUCCGCAAUGAAAUCGGCAGUCGUGAAUUUUCGACACAGUCGAUUGGACACGGGAUACUGAUAAGAGCUAUAGCUUAGACGCUUAGAGGAUCUGCAUCGACAGAUCGGACUGGAAUAGUGCGAUCUACUAGAACAAAAUUUAAUCCUGCUAAACCGGUAUGCUCCUGGCUGUUAGCUGAUAGCGAUGCCAAUAGACUGAAUACGAUUGCUCCAGAAAGCCGCUAUUGCAGUUCCUUGGCUAUCUUAACGUGUAACGUGCUAAUUCCGUCAACUAUCUAUCCAUUACGGCUGUUAAUCGGAAAGAGACUUCAGAACGAAUAAUAACGAUAUGUAAAAGGUUUACGAGAGGAUGUAGAUUUUUGCGGCUUGUGAGCAAGAAAAGGAUUUUCAGCAAAAAUCGAGAAUCGAUAUAGCGUAGCAAGUUUAAUCGCAAAUAGAACGAAUCUUUCCAGCAGCAUUGCUAAUCGCAACUGCGGUAUGAACGAGGAACAUCAUGAUAGUCGACAAUUUUCUCCUCGUUAUCUGUAGAGGUACAGAAAUCUUAAUCAAAGAAAACGACGAAAGAAAGAGAGAAAGAAAUAAAAUAAAAGAGAUAGAAAAAAAAGGAGGGAAUGGUAACGGCGAUUUCUGUUUCCGCACACACAUUACCUGUGCAGAUAUACUUAAACGUUCCAUUAUCACAGUAUCACGUUGAAUUUCCCUCACGACCGAUUGGAGAUGCAGCAAUGCGGUGGGAUACGCCACAGACGAAGGUGGAAAUUCAGGAAUCGGGAUACACACGAGUUAAUCAGUGCAUUUCUCGUCGCAACCAAAUUUGAGGAUUUUCCUUACAGCUUUUACGCGCGAAAAUAUCAGCUUGCGAAACGACGAUGCAAAAGAGAAAGCAAAAAAAGUCAUACGAUCCAGAGAAAUCGGAAAGAACAUCUCGUUGUGUUCUUCAGCGAUUGGUUACGUCAGAAUAGCUAUAUUGCGACUUUUCUAUACAACCAUGGAGAAGGGAUAAUGCAAAAGCAAUUUCUUUGAAAAGAAAUAUCACGGAAUGAAGCUUGAUCGAGUAGCACGUGAUGCUCUUAUCCCCACACCUCUACACAGAAAUCGAACAUCAAGUGAUAGCCUACUCUCCGAGAUUUAUGCACAUCGAAGCAGGAUACGCAAAAAAUUGAAAGUUUAUCAAAGCUUAAGUUAAAGCUUCGUUACAAGC